rnacentral:sRNA from 1 species
GCCGGGCGCGGUGGCUCACGCCUGUAAUCCUAGCACUUUGGGAGGCCGAGGCGGGUGGAUCACAAGGUCAGGAGAUCGAGACCAUCCUGGUUAACAUGGUGAAACCCCGUCUCUACUAAAAAUACAAAAAUUAGCCAGGUGUGGUGGCAGACGCCUAUAGUCCCAGCUACUCGGGAAGCUGAGGCAGGAGAAUCGCUUGAACCCGGGAGGCGAAGAUUGCAGUGAGCCAAGAGCUAAUUUUUGUAUUUUUAGUAGAGAUGGGGUUUCACUAUAUUGGCCAGGCUGGUCUUGAACUCCUGACCUUGUGAUCUGCCCACCUCA